rnacentral:rRNA from 1 species
AGCGAACGCUGGCGGCAGGCUUAACACAUGCAAGUCGAACGCUCACCUUCGGGUGGGAGUGGCAGACGGGUGAGUAACACGUGGGAACGUACCCUUCGGUUCGGAACAACUCAGGGAAACUUGAGCUAAUACCGGAUACGCCCUUCGGGGGAAAGAUUUAUCGCUGAAGGAUCGGCCCGCGUCUGAUUAGCUAGUUGGUGAGGUAACGGCUCACCAAGGCGACGAUCAGUAGCUGGUCUGAGAGGAUGAUCAGCCACACUGGGACUGAGACACGGCCCAG